UGAUUAUCCAGAUGGCAUGAAGCCUGAGGAAACUUCACCUGUAGAAAGUCGAGAAUACACCUCAUCAAAUGUGGAGAAUUCACCAGAGACAGAUGUUGACACCAUUAUGCAAGAAAAAGGAGCAGAGAGAAAGUUGUCUGAAAAUCAGGACGCUUUAUGUGAGAAGCUAGGGGAAGAGAUGAGGAGUGAAAUGGGAAUCCAAAGUAAAAGAACGGGGGUCACUUCUGAGCAUUUGCAGUCAGGUUAUACAUCUUUAGAUGAGCACAAAGCACAUGAUCAGAAGCAAAAUGGGGAGCCAGGUCGAGAAUUGCUGAAUGACGGUGGAAAAGAAAAUCUGCAGCAUGGGAAUGAAAAUGCUGUAACUGGGCUGCAGAGGCCAAAGGAAUUGCAAGACAAGUACAAGAAGGCCAAGAUGUGGGAGAACUUGCGUUAUCUUGAAAAUACAACAGCUAUGGAUUUAUCUCGAGUUCUGUUUGCUGAUGAUCAAAGAUCUGUCUGGAAUGGACCACAUUCACUGGUUAAGCGUGGGGGUUCCACCACUCGCAAGAGCUCCAUUCGUUCAGCUAUUUCCAUGCUGAUGAAGUAGGUUUUUUAUUGACUGAUGAAUAUGUGAAUCCAAAG
rnacentral:misc_RNA from 1 species